GUCCCCGUAGUUUAAUGGACAGAACAGGAGUUUCCUAAACUCUCGGUGCAGGUUCGAUUCCUGCCGGGGGCA
rnacentral:tRNA from 1 species